ACCUGUCUCUUAUAACUAAUCAGUGAAACUGAUCUUCCAGUACAAAAGCUGGAAUAAACACAUAAGACGAGAAGACCCUGUGGAGCUUAAAACUUUCACUAAACAGCACUAAGCUGAUUUAGUACACGUUUUCAGUUGGGGCGACUUCGGAAUAAAACACAACUUCCGAGCACAGAGCCANNUAACCUCUAGUUAAGACUAACAAGUCAAAACACCAAAAUCGACCCGGCCUUGCCGAUCAACGAACCAAGUUACCCCAGGGAUAACAGCGCAAUCUUCUUCGAGAGCCCCUAUCAACAAGAAGGUUUACGACCUCGAUGUUGGAUCAGGACACCCAAAUGGUGCAGCCGCUAUUAAUGGUUCGUUUGU
rnacentral:rRNA from 1 species